rnacentral:lncRNA from 10 species
GGCAAAGAGGAUUUUGUCUGGAAGUCCUCUUUGAGCAAAGACAUGGAGUCCACAUGAGCAAAGACAUGGAGGAGAAAAACGGCAUGGCACGAAGGGAACUGCAGGAGGGAAAAGCAAAGAGAAGAUGCGAUGAAGCCACAGAGCAGGAAGAGGCCUCGGUUGCUGUCCUGACCAGUCCUCUCACUUCACCAUCAAGGCCAUGAAACCCAGAGAAGGGAUGUGACUUGAGAUCCAGCCAGACCCAGAUCCAGAGUUGGGAGGGCAGGGGUGCUGCAAUAUGAUCACAGAAUCGACACUCGACCCCUCCCAGCGACCUGGCAAAGUGGGCACUAACUCCAUUCUGCAGAGGUGGAAACUGAGGCCAGUGUGGGGAAUGGAAAUUGACUGGGCUAAGCUUAGAAGCCUGAACUCUGACCCCAAAGCUCUCUCUUGUACCUUUGACCCCCUUGUCUUGUCCUGCAGCUCUUAAGGUUACAGUGAGCCAGUUUUUCAUUUUGCCUUUCUCCAAUGGAGGCACCUUGGAAAAUAGAGAUCUGGCUGGAGCAACCUGGAACAUUUGAUGAUUGGGCUUAUUUAUAUUUA